GUGCAGAAGAAUUUUUGAGAUUGGGGUGUGGAUGAUCCUGUGGCAUGAUGCUUGGAGCAGACCAGGUAUCCCAUAUACUGAGAGAGUGAAGAUGGACAGACAAUGCCAACGAUGGUCAAGGGAGGUUGUGUCAAUGUACGAGCCAUUGGUUCAGAGCAGAACGAGACUGUAUUCUCCCUUGAAACUGCCAAAUGCAUGAGCCAUGGCAGCGCAGGGGCCUGCCUGAUGUGAAGCUGCUGCCACGACUGAAGGCAAGCAUUUUCCAAGAUGCCAUCUUACUCACAAAGAGCAGCAAGGAGAGGGGGUUCUCGGUCAUAACAUCUAGACGAGCCCCGGUGUACAAGACCAUUGAGGGAGACAAUUGCUGGAGGACAGGACUCUGCCAGUGCCUCUGCCUUCCUAGCAUCCUGUCACAAGAAUGAACCAGGUUGUGCAAAGUUACUAACCAUCCAGUGUUUGACAUCAGGAAGCCAGGGAGGCAGAGGAAGAAAACAGUCCCGGGUGGUCCAUUUGCACCGCAACACAGCUCUAUCCAAUGC